UGUAGGUGCAUGUGAGGGAACUUUGGCUUGCUCUACUUGUCAUCUUAUCUUUGAAGAUCAUGUAUUUGAGAAGUUAGAAGCAAUCACUGAUGAGGAGAAUGACAUGCUUGAUCUGGCGUUUGGACUAACAGACAGAUCACGGUUGGGCUGCCAAAUCUGUUUGAAAAAAUCUAUGGACAAUAGGACUGUUCGAGUGCCUGAGACAGUGGCCGAUGCCAGACAAUCCAUCGAUAUGAGCAAGAACUCCUAAGCUAGAAUAAAUAGGAAUAUUUUCAAAAUUUUA